GGUGAAUACGAGUUCUUGAAUGUGAAGGUCGUCGUCGGUUAAUUUUACAGACACAUGAAAGUAAAUAUGUUUCACUGACAUCUGAAAUGGGGAAAGGAUCGAAGAUAAUUAUGGUGCUUCUGGAGAGCAUGGCUGGCACAGGCCACAAGGUUAUACGUAUGCGUCCAAAGUUGGCAGAGAAACUAGAACAAAUUGGCUUUGACCCACAUGUUCGAAAACGUGUUCUUUAUAAGGAGAAGAAGAAAAUACGUUCAAUGUGAAAUAUUUGGUCAACUCAUGCCAGCUGUCAUCAUAAUCAUGUGUGCAUGUGUGGAUUUGGGAGUGCUUCAUCCUUGUUCAUAGGAUAAUAGUUUUGUUGAAUCAAACCGCAACAAGCAACUGACAUUGAAUGUUCAAAAAAAGAACAAUGGAGCUUUGUUGUGAAUGCAGUUAACUACCGUGUCAUGUGUUGUUCUCAGAAUAAAUAUUUAUCAAUUCG